rnacentral:ncRNA from 2 species
GUUGCCGGCCAGAGGUGCGGGCGCUACGCGACGUCGCGGAGGAACGAGCUUCCGCUGAUGCGACGCCAGGGAGCGACCGCCGAAGUCGGAGGUCCGUUUCGGGACCUCGGGCUGGUUCGCCCACCGGAAGGAGGCGAACUGUCGCGACGGGGGAGACCCCGACGCGAAGCGCUGCCGUGUGA